ACACACACACACACACGUACCUGCGCGUCUACUCGGGCCGCGCCGUUGGAUCCGAAACCAGCCGCCCCCGUGGCGCAGAUCACCGCCUGAGCGCUACCUAUGGCAGCUACCAGCACACUGCAAGCGCAGCAGCACACAGCCACAAGACAUACAUGCAUACAUACACAUACACGCACACGCACACGCACACAUAUACAGUCUUACAAACCCAUUUCCAUUUCCAUUCCAGCCUCAGAAUAUGUUAAAAAACACUUUCGAAUCCGAAGCUGCUCUGCUGAUGUUUGGAAAAGAGUCAAAAGCAAUCUGACCUGUGGGUUACCACCCUCGGCUUGGACCACCACCCCCCACAUGCACACCAUGUGUUCACGAACUCCCCCCUUCACUCCCCGCCCCACUCCCCUUGCCUCCCGGAGCCCAGUACCCCUCCCCCCUCGGCGCCCUAUUACUGGUACGGUAAAGAGGUCAGGUCCAAGCACUCAACUCCACCCCCUUGGUGACGUCAGCCUCCACAAUUGUGAUUCCCCGAUCCGCUCCGAAACCAAGUGCCAGGGCCUUCUCGGGGGACUGCGGGCAUGCGGGCAGGUAGGGCAGGCAGGUAGGGCAGGCAGGUAGGGCAGGCAGGUAGGGCAGGCAGGUAGUUAGGCAGGGGGAGGGGAGGGGAGGGGGAGAAGGAGCUUCCAUGCGAACCGGUGAUGGCCGCCGACAGCCGACAUCAGAGCAGGCAGCAGAGCAAAGGUGGAACAACGCCGUGAUGGCCGUACACGCGGCGGCCGCCCACGUACGGCAAACCGUGAUGGUGACGUUGGCCAGUAACCAACCCCCAACCCAGGCCUCCCUCCCCACACACAUACACAUACACACACAUACACGCACGCACGGCCGCCUCUCACCCUCACUCCAGCCCGCACCAGGAACCCCGCCCUCCGCAGCUGCUCCACCACCCGCCGGCCCGUCCUGCCCGUGGAACCCGCCACGAACACCUGCAGGCGGGCGGAGGGGGGUUGAGGAGGGUGGGUGAGGAGGACGGGGUGAGGAGAGUGGGUGAGGAGGAGGGGUGAGGAGGGUGGGUGAGGAGGAGGGGUGAGGAGGGGGGGGUGAGGAUACCCGCACAUCCACCCGCACCUCCAAACAGGAAGGGCGCUACAAGACACGGCAUGUAGAGAAUACGUCGAUGAUGAUGAACCUCUGUUGGGGAGCCCAAGGUUCCGGAGCUACUUUGGGGGCCUGCAUGGUUGAUUUGCAUGUCUCUCGUGACUCGUUCAGCAGCAGCUGACGUCAGUUUGGACGGUUGUCGGUUGGCAGUUGACCUAUAUGAUAAUGCAUUUCCGUGGAUUAUUGGGUAAUUCCCCCAUGUACGACGUACCGGCCCCUGCCCUGCCGCCGCCGUACCGCUGGGCACCCUCCCUCCCCCCUUCCCCCUCCCUCCCCCCCUAAGGGGGAAGGGGGGGAGAAGUUGCUCUCUUCCGUCUCACCGUCGUGAUGCCCUCCGCAGCCCAUGCCCGCAUCCCGCCGUACUGCCGUACUGCCGUACCGUCCCAUAUGUCCCACCCGCUGCCUGCCAGCAUCACCGCCAGCAUAGGGCCCAGUCCCAGUCGCAGCAUUACAUCACGCCGGCGAGGACGGGCACCGCGAGUUGCUGCUGCCGCCGCCCCCUCGACCUCCGGCGGUGUUGGGUGACCCCCCGGUAAGUGCUGCUCAUGCUGCGGUCGGUGGAAGUGGUGUGGUGGCGGUGGUGGCGGUGGUGGUGGUGGUGGUGGUGGUGAUGGCAGUGAUCGCGGUGCUGUGGCUCGUGGGCCGAGUUUCUCCCCCCCUUCCCCCGCCCGCCCCGGCGUGCAGCGCUGAACCGAGCAACAGUUCGAAAAGAAAGGUGCGAAGCAAUGACAACAGCAACAGCAGCAGCAGCAACAGAAGCAUUUACAUAUACCCGCGUCGCUGUGAUGCUGUACGACAGAAAUCGGCCCGAGGCCAUGCUCUCGUCACGACGUCAUCAUUGCCGGCGGCGACGUCGGCAACUGCCGCCGAACAACGCGAAGGCUCGCUUGCGGGGUUUUGAAACCAUGAUGUAUGGCAUGAUGUAUGGCAUAUUCCUUACAUCUGGCCCUGCCGUGCUUUUCGCAAAGGUAUCUCAACGAGAGCGAGACAUCGUGUUGCGAAGCGUGUGAAACGUUUGUACGGCAGGUAAUGGCCCUUUGCGGAAUGCUUACUGAGAUCCCGGCAUUAGCGCUCUUGGGGUGAUGUACGUGGCCGUGUUGAUGUGGGUGAAAAGCGGCGCACCUGCUGCCGGCUGCAUGCAUGGUGGUGUGUUUUACCAGGCUGAGAUGUGCGUGCAUGAGAUGUGUGAGUGUGAGUUUGUGAGCGUGCGUACGUGGGUUUAGGAGAAAGGGGGGAAGUUGGAUAUGGAUAGGAGGUUAGACGGAAUUGUAGUUCAGGGUGCGCACUGCAUUCUGCACAACUGGGCUUGGGGACGGAGUUCGGACAGCAGUGUAGGCUUUUUGGCUUCUGCGCGUUCGACCGCGCUCGCGCACAUUUUAAGAUUUCCAACCUCGCGAGGUUGGACGUGUGACACGAUAGCCAUGUUUUGGUGGAAGCAAUGUUAUUGGAGUCACGUUUUACUUGCUGAAAGAGAAAAACAAGCCGAGGAUUAGGAGUACCGAUAGGCUGUCAGCACACCACACCUGGAUCGGGGUGACACGUUGGGGCACCGUAAAGGGCUUUCUACCAGGAUGAAGGUGCCUUGGGCAGACCACAGAAAGAGAUGGCAGAGUUUUAGACAGAGCAAGGGCGCCCUUUUUGAUCCUCUGCUUGGGCUGUGAAGCCUGCGUCCCAACAGUGCAUCCUCGAAUUUUUCGAUACAUGUAGUGAAUGCCCCUGCGCGAAUUACUGUAAGCUAAUGAACAUGACAGAUUUACAAAUUGUUACACGUUUGCAUCUGUGUUUUGCUAAAUUCGUAAGGAAUGUACGGAAGGGAAACGGCUUUCGGUCAGCAAAGAUGGAACGUCGUGUGCAUUUUUCAAUGUGGAAUUGGGUUUGCUUAGAGACUUGCACUUUGCAUAAUGUUAUGUUAUGUUGUCCGCGGCAACUGGGAUGGUGGUGAUCAUCAUGAUUACAAUCUAAACAGGCCGUAAGACCCAAGCGAGUUAGGAGCGCACGACGAUCAAUAGACCCAAAGGACCCAGAAAAGGCAAAGGGAUGCAAAUGAUUAGGUUGAAAGCUGAACGCAAGGCCACCAAAGGAGCUUAGCUGUUCGAAAGAGAGUAUUAGCCUCCUUUGGCAACUUGGAAUCGACAGCGCUGUUACAACUGUACGGCAAGACCGAAAAAUUACCUUCUAUCUUCAGGAUUGUGCGCUUAUUAUUUGCCGCUUUUGAGGAUCGACAGCGGACCUUAACCUGGAAAGCGACAACUUGAAGAACAUACAACGAGACAAAUAGACAUCUCUCCUGUUUUAGCAAGCCGAUUUGUGAGAUGAGUGACAAGGAGCGUGGCAUAGAGGAGGAGAAGGCAAAACUGCUGGAGGGCAGGAAGGAUGUGGAGGCUGGAAAGCACCUCAUGACCUCGGCGAAAUCUCUCAGCCUUGGGGGCUUUGGGUUGACUUCGAUCGUGAUCCUCUAUUACGCAAUAUGUAGUUCAACUAUGCUUGUGAUCAACAAGGUCGCCAUCUACCACUUUCCUUGCCCGAUCUCUCUACUAUGUCUCCAACUAUUCUUCUCUGCCUUUGCUGUCACGUUGGGGCACUACGUCGGCGUCGUUUCAGCUGAAGCAAUUGACUUCGAUAAGCUGAAGAAGUUCGUCUGGGUCGUCGUCGGGUACGUAACACGUGUCUUUCGAUAUUCACCUUUCCUAAACAGCGUAUCUCAGUAAUUUUGCACAUCUACCGUAGUUGAGAGGUACAUGGUUGACAGUUUAGACCAAAACCUGCAUUCCGGACUUCAUUCGGUUCUCGCGUUCAUGGGGCUCGAAGGCUAGAACCGGUGUUCCUGACGGUUUUCUACCUGUGCCAUCUAGGUUUCUUGGUACCAUCUUCGCCAACAUUAAGGUUUUGCAACACGCUAAUGUGGAGACGUUCAUAACGUUUCGGUCUACGACACCGCUGGUGCGUCCAUGACACUUUGUGCAAACGUUUGGCAAAUCGUUAUGGUUCUGUUGAGUAGAGCUGGAGGCGUUUCCGCGUUGGCGGCUAGUGCGUGGGUAUGAGGGAGCGCCAAACACAGGGCUGUACCCAGAUCGCCCGUGUGAUUUUAUCAUUUGGGGGUGUUUGCCGACCUGGACUGCUGCCUGCUGUUGCCUUUUACGUGCCGUCGCAUGGCAUGGACUUGCACAUGCACACCAUGCCGUGUCGGCAUUAUGAACGCAUACAUCAUAACCCACAUGCGUUGGCAAACUGCAGAUCUUGUCGAUCUGUGACUACAUAUAUCUUGGGAGGGCGCUGCCAACAAUGCGCUCAUGGCUCAGCCUGGUCGUGCUCCUGUCGGGUAGCUUUGGAUAUGUACUGGUGGACAGCGACUUCAAGAUUGAUGCUUACUACUGGCUAUUGCUUUGGUGAGUAGUACAUGCUCCGGGCAUGCCGUCCUGGCGGCUAGAACCUGGUGUCACUUUGGGCAUGUUGUACUGGCGGCUGGAACGUGGUGUCGGGCCAGGCGGAUGGGCGUGGGGUUCUUGCACGUGAUGUUACUCUUGUGGAUAUUUGAAGACCUCUUUAGGUAUAUUGUAUGGAUGAGGAGGUUUACUUUUUGCUUCCCGAUCUGGGUAUAAGCAUGUGGACAUCCACCGUUUCCAAUACUGGCCGGUGUAUAAGGAAAGAGCGCCGCCAACGUCCGAAUGUGACAAAGUUGCGACGGUCGGCGUGCCGACCGCGGUCAUGCCGGCCUUAAUGGCAGCAAUGCAAAAUAUGUCAGACAACCGAAUACUAGCGGGUUUUUCUCACUCUAUCGAUGUUGUCCAAGAAGCAUGCGUGUUCCGCGCGCAUGACAUCAGUCCCGUGGCGUCCAUUUUCGCCUUACUGAGUAAGGGACAUAGGCACAUGUUAACGCUCCUCCUCGUCUGGUGCAGGUAUGCGUUCUUCACGUUCGACACCGUUUACGUCAAGCACAUGUGCGAGACCGUCAAGGUGCGACAAGCUGGGCCCUGUUGGCUUGACGUCUCUUCUUCCACUGGACGUCCCUUUCGGAGUUUCGACGUUAACAUGAUUUUGGUUGUGUCUUUGUGCGAAAGCAAGCUGCUUUUUGCAUUAAAAUCCGCACUUGUGACGCGCUAUUGGAUCCUCCGAUCGUCGUCCUCAAACUUACGGCUCAUUUCGCGCCAUCCUUUUCGCCGUGGUCUGCUGGAUCUGGGUCACGCGCGUAUGCAGAUGACUAACUGGAGUCGAGUGUAUUACACCAACGCCAUUGCGCUGGGACCUCUUCUGCUCGCACUGCCCCUUGCGGGCGAGCAGGACCGGCUGAGCUCUGUAGUCUGGACGUCGAACGUCUGGGUGCCGGUGCUGCUGUCGUGCCUGAUGGGCAUUUGCAUGUCGCACAGCGCCUACCUGCUCCGUGAUACGGUGUCCGCCACGCUGUUCACCAUUGUGGGUAUUUUGUGCAAGAUCAUCACCGUCGUCAUCAACGUACUCAUCUGGGACAAGCACGCAACGCCGGCAGGGAUCGGCUUCCUGCUUGUAUGGUGAGUGCUUGGAUGGUUUAGUGUGGGGACUGGCAUCACAGUACCACGCGGCAGGGCGGAAAAGAGUCGUGAGCUUAGUGGGGCAGGCGCCUCGUGGCGCAGGCCAUGAGGAUCGCAAGGGCCAGGAAUCCGGGCCUGUGCCGCUCCGCAGGGUAUUUAUGCAUUCGCUAAAGGGGUGUCUGGGAAUAGGUUUCGCUGGGCGAUUUGGAAAAAAAACGUAAAGAGUGUCACAUCGUAUGUGCGUGCCGCAUGAAUAUGAUGCAGGCCCGAGCUUGCAACUUCAGGUGUUGGGUUUUCAUGCACAUGUGUAUGUUCAUGCCUUGUGCAGCCCGUAAACCAAUGAAAAUUGUAACGGAUUCAACCGGAUACCUUUGUUUUAGUCGAUCCAUUGUUCUUCCUGAGUCAAGCCACAUGAUGCAUGAGCGCGACUGUGCGCUGCUUGCUGCCCUGAAUCUCUGAUAGCGCCUCUUGUGGACCGCCUCCUGCUGCUUCUCCUGUAGCGUUUUCGCUGGGACGUUCUACGAGCAGGCGCCAAAGCGAGCCUUGUAGAGCUGUGCUUGGGUACUUUUCAAGCGGGCUGCCAAGCGGCAAUCGCAACCUUCCGAAUCGUUUUGUAUUUGUAAGCUUAGCAAUGAUGGUGGGUCUUCGGGUAUCGCUGCCUGCCAUUGGGACGGUGUAAAUCCCGAUUUCUUUUCUAUGCCGUGAAAAGAUCGUAAGGCGGAGGUCGGAUGGAACCUGCGGAUAACGUGAUAGCUGCGCAAGCAAAUGUGAUAUCCGCGCACGCGAUAUUAAGGGAGUAGGCUUUUUGCUUAAGAAAGUAGGUUUGGAAGUGCCGCUUGGGAAACUGUGUUCCAAGAAAUUGCCGGAACUUCUCUCCCUGAUUUGCACGGCAGAGGGGCAGACAUUCAUCCAGCUGACUGUAAGUGGAUGGUACGCAGUAGUAGUGAUAGAUACCUCCUUUAUUCCCAGGUACUGCCCCCUGACCGCCCCACGCUGUGAGCUCUGUUCGUGUGGAUGGUGCGAAUGUUAGACCUUCGUAGCGGUUAUAACCUAAUUGCACGUGGUUGGUUGGUUGGUUGUGUCACGUGCCCUAGUUAGUUUAUGAGUUCACAUUUCUCACGAUGCGGAUGUGGAUAGUCAUCUGAGGAUUUACUGGGUGGCACACGCUAGAAUGGUUGUGACUGCGUAGUUCUUUGUCUCUAGAUUGUUCAGUCGGACAAGUGAGAGGGAGGUUCUUUUACUUGUAGGAUGCAUCUGUUCGUCCAGAUGACGUGUCGUCGUACGUAGUCGGGCGCCCUUAAGAAGGGGAACGCUAAUGGUUUGGUUUGGAAGAGAGCUCAAGAGGAAGGGUCCCAACGCUCAAACAUACUGUAACCGACGUUUCGAGUUUCAAUACGGACUACUAUUCUACUAUUCUGCGUACUAUUGGUGGGCUGUAUGAUGAACGCUGUCUCUUGUGCAGGUUGAGAACGGCACAAAGGGGCUCUGAUGUCGCAGAGCUUUGAUGUGGGGGUUUUCUAUGUCGGUCCCCUUACUGCUGUGUCACAUCCUUACGUGGAGGAGCGCCUAGGAUACUAAAGGCCGUAAUAAAACAAUUUGUCAAACGUGCAGCAUCGGCCGUGCAGCCGCGUCUCGGUCCUCGGAUGCGUCGGCGCAUCGCCGUCUCCUGGUGGCCAUCUGCUGGAGAAAGCUGGACGCGACGUCGCUCGCACCACCGCAGGACUCCACAUCGUGUGCGUUUUUGAAUUAGCCAGUAGAGCACGCCUGUGCCUUAUUGCGCACGUAUUUAUGACCAUUCAGGGGUCGUCAGAACCUGGUCAACCAGCGCUCCAGAGGAAAGCUGGAGGCCAAGCCUAUAUAUGGCUCCACCAGAACCCCACGUCACAUGUGCCAACGGUUAACUAACGGCCGCGCCAACGGUCAAGUACGGAAAAGACUCUCCCGUGGUCCGCAGGCGAGCUGAUUGAGCUGUGUGUGUGUGUGUGUUACAUGGUUGGGGUUGCGUGACCCCAUACCUGUAAGACUACCCAUACGAGCCGAAGGCCCAAGGGCAAUACUACAACGCCUAAAAGCCACGGAGGGAAGGAAAACACCGCACAUCAGCCCAGGCUAGCGUCCAAAUGGGGUAAUUGAGUUUCGGUGAGCCCACAUACGUUCCAACAUCCUCGCAAGACGCAAGGGUUCCCAUUUCAUGGCCUCCAACUUCGAUCAUCAACAAAGCACUGUUGAUGAUCGAAUCCCUCUUCAGCACGAAAUAUCAUUAUAGGCUGGGCAUUCCAAUAACACGUGUUCUUCAUCCUCGAUUCGGCUAUUAGUACCACAACAGUGGCAAAACCGCUGCCCCCUGGGGACAUGGUACUUGCCCCUUCGUGCUCUGUGUGCCUCCAAAGCCCAGCAACAUAAACGAAACUGCAUUAGCUUACGAUGUGCUAAACGAGGAAUGAAAACCUUAGCAUGUGUUGGCCACAUGACGGCUGCGGCUCCCGAAAAGGGCAGCCCCAUCCAGUGCUUAUACUUCGCCAUUUGCACUCCCGGUUGCUUCCCAUCUGAUGGGUACUCCUCUGGCAAGACAGUCAGACGCGUAUGGUCCCAGCCGCUCAUCAAACGCUCUCUUAGUGCCGUUAUCAUCGCUCCUUCGGGUAGAGGUCUACUCAACAACCAGUCAACACGCUCCUUUACCCCCACGACUUCUUGCGGUAUUCCGCUCCAAAUGUUGCACUCCAAGAAGGAAAACAGUCGUAACAUUGAGAUUCCCCAACCCUCCCAUUCCGGGUUGGUCAGGGCAUCGGUUAUCUCCUGCCGUAAAAUUGCAUGAGCGUUUUAUGUAACAGGCCUGCGUUCACAAUCCACCUCGUGACGCACUUUGCCAGAGGAGCAGGAUUGUCAGAGGAUAUAUAUACAGCAUUUCGUAAGGUCCGCCCUUAGUGCUGUUACCGUCAGGCUUGACAGGGAUCCGUCCCCAGCCCCUCCUCGCCUGCCACGAUCGCCGGACUUCGCCAGCUGAGCCAAGCAGGAGCUUUUAAGGAAGGCUCUUAAUUCGUAGCUAUCACCACAGUGAGCCAUCCGCAUUUCUUGUGUCUGUUAGCAUGCCAUAUGGCGUGACAUAGGGGUAUAUAGGCCUUCCUGCGCGGACUAAGACUUGUUUUAUGGGCUUGCGGGUAUGGGAGGGCGGAGCAGGGUCUGUUUAUGCGGGGCUUUGUUGCGCGGGCAGCAGAUACUGGCAACAUGGAGCGUUCACGUGAGGGCUGGGCUGCUGACCUUCCAACCUGCUGAGUAUUAACGUUGCUAAAAGGUACACGUCUACGCAAAUCUGCAGCAAACAACAUCGCCGCGCCACAGGGGGGAAAGUGCAAUCGAGUGUAAUUGAAUCGAUCCGUUUACGUUUACAUUUACAAGCUUCAAGCUUGUACGGUCCAGACGAGCCAAAAGGCUCAUGAACCGCCAAACUGGAAACAGGAACUUAAAAAAGAGAAAUGCCAAUACCCAACAAUAACAGAUUGAUUAAUCUUCAACGUACUGCAACCUGCAUCUUCUAAUGUCGUCCAGGACGCGCGCUAACCCGCGUUGAUCCUUGACGCCCAUAAUCUCGAUCAUGCGGUCCCCAGGAGUAACCCCCAGGUCCCAAAGCUUCAAACGGAUAUUCGCAUACGCAGGACAAUCUAGCAGCACAUGACAUUCAUCUUCAACAGCUUGCCGGUUCCCACAGACCCGGCACCACCGGGCAGACCGUUCCCUACCGUGCGGUCGAUUAACCGCCAAAGGCCAAACACACACCCUGAAACGCAUCAGCGUGACGUGCUGUUUUGGCGAGAUAUAGCCGCUGCCAUGCUUGGGCAAACCCAUCGAUCCUGUCACACGCAAAACGGUUGUCGGUUAUGGGAAUAGCCAUUCGUGCAGUAGUGUGUGCAAACAACGGCGCUUCCCAUCCAACGUAUUCGUAAAUGAUGCAGCAUGUAUUUCAUGGAGCCAGACGAGCGGAGAAACAGCCAGAAGGACAGUAUUUUACAUUAGUUGUAACGAGGUAUGCCUGCAGUCCGCAACGCCGUCGUACAUUUGACUUGUUUUCUCCGGCCACUUCACCAUUUCCGGAAUCAGGGCAUGAAGGUUGAGUGGCAACUUUCCAUUUGCAACGUCCAUGUUACGCGCAGAAUAACCCGUUCCUAAAGCCUGUUCAUCGGUAUGGCCGAUAGUGAAGCCCUUUCGAAACGACUGAACAAGGCCUCCAAGAGGAUUCAUAGCAUAAGCAACUCGCUAGUAAAUGCAAAGCUGAUAGCGUUACUAACUGAUAAGGAGCUUUACGCAAAGGCGCUGUCUCGCUUCUAUUACGUUUUCGCUGCUCUUGAGCAAGCGUUAGACGAGGUAAGCCUGCAAACACAAUCUGAGCACGAUUAUCCUUUAUUCACUUGUCCUUGGCUAUUUUGCGGCAGGCGCUCAAGAAUGGCGAUUCAGGCAAGCUCCAAGUAAUCGUAAAACUGCCCUGUAUGUUGGCGUGAAGACCCUUUCCUUCCCCGACCUCAUGGACCAGAUGUGGAGAAAUUUAAAACAUUUUAUCAUCAAAAGGCUAUGUACCGCACAGCCGGCUUCCGUGCGGACCUGGAAUACCUGCUUGGGUAGGUAGGGCCCUGUACAGCCAGCCUCUGGCUACUGCUCCCUUUCCCAUGUCUUACAUCUGCGUAAUCGCCGUGGACUUGUGGUCUCCUGCUCUGAGUAGAGUCCUUGAGACCGAGGCCAUAUUGUCUAAACAGCGGAACUCUCUGGUGCCAUCGAAGCAUCCGAAAACAAUGCAAGCCACCGCAACCAUCAUCACCACUACUACCACCACCGCCACUGUUUUUUUUUAUAAUCAGCGGUUCCCAAAAGUCCUCCCUCCCUCCACCCCUGGCAGGCCCAACUGGGAGGCCUGCUGCGGUUCCAAGAGCCCUCCACUGAAGGAGUACGAGGUCAGUAGUUGGUUGCCGCGAAGAUACGGCGGCGCAUAGCCCGAUGAUUGCGCAUCCUGCCUGAUUUCAUGAUUGCCCCCUGUUGCUCCUGACAAGGUUGUAAAGACCCUUCUUUUCCCUUCUCCUUACCCUUUUUUUAGCUGCUCCUUCCUGCUCCUUCCCGAUGCUCCCCUGCUUCCUUCCUGACAUUCUUAAUUCUUUCCCCCAUUUGCCUCCUAAUGCCCGCCCGCCCGCAUGUGCGCACGCACGCACACCACCGCGCCGCGCCUGCCUCCACACGGCUGCCGCAAAGCACCACCUCUCCCUCCUGGCCGCCACAAAGCCCCGGCUGCUACUGGCGCACUCGUACACGCAGCACCUCGCAAUGGCCGCGGGUGGCCAGGUCAUUAGGCGCCUCGUCCGGAAGCAUCUGGCCCUAACCGAGGAGGAUGCGGGAACUGAUGCUUUCGAGUUUAAGGUAGGAAGCCGGCUAAGCUGAGCGGGAAGAUAGCCGGGAAAACACCAAGCAAGGUCUACGGCGCGAGCAAGCCUGCCAGUCACUAGUAUUGGGUAACUGGUAGUCUUUAGUUUUUCUAUUAUUGCGCGCGCUGGCCUCGUCCCUCUGGCUAGAGUACUGUACUUAAAAAUGUCCAGAUUCGUUAGAUUUAAAAAAUAAAGUUAAGACCUUAUUUGGGUGGGUGGCCUUUGAUGAAAUAUUGAGGUUACUAUUUUUCAAUCGGUGAUUAUCGGUGCUGUCCAUCGCAUUAAUCCUGCUCGUCGUUUUUUGUUUGCUUCUGCUGCUGUGCUGUGGCGGCAACUAAGCCGUGCGUCAGCAAUUCUGCGGCUGUGUGUGUGUGGGGGGAACUGCCUGAUGACUUCACUGCAGGGGGAGAGCAGCAACACGCUCAGAACCAAAUUCAAGGCCACGCUGGACGAGUGGGCCCGCGGUCUACCUGAGGAGGAUGUCCGGCAGGUGGAGAUGAACGAACCCCGGAGACGAUUGCCUUAGUCGUUGUUUUCCCUUCUCCCUGACGCCACAAUCACUGUCGCUAUAACCCCCGUGUGCUCUAGGUGCGCUGUGCACUAUAUGGACUCUCCGGCGGGCAUUUCCUGAUCUCUCUCCGUGCGUUUCCCCGGGUUACCUUUCCCCCUCCCGCCCCUGCUUUACUCGUCCGUGGCUCGUCCUAAACCCCCGCCCCCUUUCCUGUCGCCCUUAACUUUCCUUAUCUUCCUCCCUCGCGCGUCUGAGGAGGCCACAAAUCUUCGUACCCGAGCUUUGUGGCCUCCCAGCUAUUUGUGUGUGGUGUCCCAGUUACCAAUAACCCCACGUCGUCCUCCCGCUUCCACGGGGCUGACAAAUUCGGUCAAAAAUCCCCCGUCCAUCCUUCCUAUAUGCCGCAUUCCUACGUCGCCCCUACCACCUACCCUAAUAGCACGCCCUAACAGCCGCCCCCAAAAAGCUCUCCUCUUCCCCUCACCCACCCACACAAUCUCCUCCUCCUUCUCCUUUGACACCCAGCUCAUCUCGGAGCAUGUGACGACGUUCCAGUUCCAGAACGCCAUCAUCCGGGCCUUUCCCAUCCCGACUGCCGCCGUGGUCAAGGGCGUGCUGCAGCUCAUCCCGCGGCCGCUGCUGCUAGCGGUGCUGGCGGUGCUGGCGGCGGCGCUGGUGCUGCUGGUCGCCCCGACCGUCCCAUGGGUCGCUGCCGCCAUGGGGUGGCAGGUGCUGCCAGAUGCCGCCCCCUGAGGCUGUAACGCCACCGGUAACGCAAUGAGCGCGAUACGCUAAUUCAGAUGGAGAUAAAUAACGAACUGUGGCUCCUGCUCCCCCGUCGUCCUCCACCUGCUCCACCCGCACGCUGUGUUACUCUAGGCGGAGAAAUAUGUGUGUGUGUGUAUGUGUGAGAGAAAGAGAGAGAGAGAGAGGGGGGGAGGGUGUGGGGCUUGAAUCGCUUAGCGGAUGGAGACAUGCACCUCCCACGAAGCAAGUCGCUUGCUUAGCCCGUCUUGCUUGUUGUUCAGGGUCUACCAGUCAGGUGCUCUGCUUUUUAGAGGAUUGUGUAUCGGACUGGCCGUAUGUCCGUAUGAUCUAUUUCUGGUUGCAUGUGUGAGUCGCAGUCCACCUAGCUACCGCCGCCGCUACUGGUAGGAUAGACAGUCGAUUUCCUGGCAGUGGGGACGGUAGCGACUCGUUUGGUGAGAGGACACGCUCUAUGUGCUGGUUGCCGGAUUUCCUGGUGAAUGGAAAAGACGGAGACUGCUGACGAUUGAAAAGGUGACUGUUAAGCAAAAGGCACUUCGUACACCGCACACAUACAGGCCAAAAAUAACUUGUUGCGCAACAGCACAUGUGCAAUGUGCCAUGCAUGACCUGAUGCGAACAUAAGGCCUUUUUUAAAACUAUAGGUUAGAAUUCCUGGUUCCUGCUGGCGGAACGUGCCACCGAGAGAACGACCGGGACGAUCGACCACCUGUACAUCUCAGGUUGCGGGUAAUAAUAAGAGAAGCUUCCUUCCCCUGUUCGUACGCGAGGACGCACCGGGAAUGUGACCUUAGCCCUACAGUAUCAGCUCUCAUAAGGAAUGAUUUCCCGUACAGUAUCAGCACCAGCACCUGCACAAGGAAUAAUUUCCCGAGCCAAAUGUCUUACUUAUACUUUUAAUUACUUGAACACACAUACAGGCUUCCAUCUUGAGGGAAACCUCCGUCAGAACAAACGAUAUCUGCAGCAUAGUAAUAAUGUCAUACAUAUUCUCAGUCAGUGGUGGGCGGUGGCACCGGAGGCACUGACGGCCGGCCGACGGCGGUCUCGUGGGCCCGUCCUCCUCCUACACAUACACACACACACACGCGUGAGUUAGUGCUGCGACUCCCUCCUCCGCACUGGCGUCCACAGCUCAACACCUCCUCUGACUCAAGACGCGGCAAACCCACAACGCAAAGCUGUGCUACCUGCCUCGACCAGCCCGACCCAACCCUCUGACUCGCCUGCCUCGGCUCCUUUCAACACCUCUCGACCACCCCCCCGGGGGCGAAAAAUCUUCAGAGUUCGCCUUCCGCGCGUUUCUUUCCCUCCCCUCCUGUUUUUCCCUACCCGGCGGGCCCUGUCGUCGUCCUUUCUCGCUCACCGCUGCUCACCGCCCUCCCUCGCCAGGAGGGUUCAGACCCACACCCGUGCAACCUCCUCCUCUUGUGCGCGACACCCCGUAGGACGGCCUCCCGACCGGCGUGCAUGUUUUUUUACCAGAACAUAUACCCUAUGUGUAUAUCCUGAUGAUAUAUAUAUAUACACACAUGUAUAUAUAUACACACACACCUAACGUACGAUAAAUAGAAAAAAAUCAUGUAUACCAAGAAAAGACGUCGAGCUGGCGGCCAGCAAGUCGACAACACUCCUUGCUCGGGGCACAUAACCCCGCCGGGGGGACCCCGAGACCACUGAAACAACAACCCUAUCCAUCCAGGAGUGUCCGUGUCACCGUACACUUGUUAUUCUGCAUUAAGUUUUACAACGCAGUACGGUAUCGUCGCUCUGACCCUAGUAACCGCAAAGAUGCACCAAAAUGAUCAAAACCCCAUAUGUGUGUCUGUGUGUAUGUGUCUCCAUCUCCGCAACCGCCACUACCAAUAACACCAUCCUUUCUCUCCCUCUCUCUUUCCCUCCCUCCCCUUUUCAUUUCCAAUCCAAGUGUGUACCGCCUCAACCCCCUUAUCCACCACUGCACUGCCCUAAGAGAGCACUUCUUCCUGGCCACGCUGACCCGAGAGGCUUAUGUGCAAGGACGCACAUACAUACAGGGAUAUUGCGUCAUGGCGCUUUCCUUGUUUUCCUUUCCUCCCCCCCAACCCCAAAACCCCUCCAAAGGCUUGUCAUCCCAAAAAAGGGGCACGGAGCUCCCUCAAAGCCGCCUUCUGUCUUCAUUCCAGGCAGAACGCCCCCAUCCGCAACACUCUUAUCUCCGAGGACUACUACUGCAUAUGUCCCAGCUUGCAGCAGCCGCCGUCACCGGCUGCAUCCUGCAUCCCGGCAGCCUGUUGUAUCACGUCUUUUGCAGAAAAGAACCGAUCGGCGGAUGACAGAUCCCGUGGUGACCAGGAUACUACACAGCCCCCCCCCCGUCCGCUUUUGUACACCCCGGGCUCGCUGGCUGGGAGGGUGGCGACUGGGCUAGAGGUGGGGUGCUGAGGUAAACCUGAAGGUGCAGAAACAACCUGAAGGACAUACAUACGGGUGCGUGGGGCUGCGCCCGGGGGGGUGUCCGUAGGGUUGUCUCUCUGUGGACAUCACCACCCCAACCCAACCUAAGCGACCCAGAUCAACUCAAUGUAGUCCAACCCCAGCAGCCCCAGGACCAGUUGAAUUUCUAUAUGUUAGCAAUAUUGUUAGCCAGUGUGUGUGUGUGUGUGUGUGCGUGAAGCGUGCUAAGCUGGAUUGACAGCUACAGCCGCCGGCGCCGGCGGGCUCCCCACAGCCACAGCCUGCUGGCUGUUGACCGCGCUGAGGAGUGCGUUCCACACGAGCCCCGCGCCGUUGACGUAGAGUAUGCGGGCCGAAGGUGGACAGCACAUGAAGUUGAUCAUGUUGGCUGCGGGCCAGAAUACAGAGCCUGACAGGGAACAGCACGAGCGCGGUGGGGAGAGGCGCCGGGGAGUGUGACGAGCAAAUGGGCGAGAGAGGGUUUCAGAGGGUGGUCUGUUCACAUUUGUGGUCUGGAUGUACUCGAUGUGCGGGGACCCCGAACCAUGGAAGCCAACCUCCCGGUGUGUACAUCUGUAGAUAUGUAAGCCCGUUACCUGUUCCUAGUGCCUAGGCCUAGGAACAGGUGGCACGGCAGAUGCAGUGUUUCACGCUCUCUCACGGCGCUAACGCGCCCCAAGAGCAAUCCCCUUCCCGGCCUGCGGUGUUGCUUCGUCGAGUGUGACCCACUCCGGAGUCACGUGGACCGCUGAGUGAAGGCAUUUCUUUCCGACCCAUGCACGGACAUACAUACAUACAUACAUACAUACAUACAUACAUACAUACAUACAUGACACGCACCUGCCACGUAGGUCUGUAGGAAGCUGCUCCGCAGCUUCGUCCCCACCGCCGCCAGGUUGCCCCCCGGCUCCAGGAUCGCGAUGUAGGUGAAGAACGCUGCCACGUAGGCUGGGAAGAUGGUCACCUGACCGAAAGCCGUCUUCUUGGCGGCCUGAGGGGGGGUUACCAGUCCAACCCAACCGGCAUCCAGGUUCAUAGCCCCAUGGUGUGUGUAUGUAUGUAUGUAUGUAUGUAUGUAUGUAUGUAUGUAUGUGCGUAUGCGUGUGUGUGCGUAUGCGUGUGUGUAUGUAUGCAUGUGCGUGACUCUCAUAAACGACACACAGACAGCCCGGUAGCCGCGUAAAGGAGCCUAAAGGUAGAGGUGCGGAGGUAAAGAGCGUUACCGCGGGGUUUGCUAUUUGUUGCCCGCACUGUCAACUGGGCAGUGAGCGUGAGUGGGAAGCGGGGGAAGGCUGUCCAAAGGCAGGGUGGCGUCUUUUCACUAGAUAUACAUCACUGGACAGAUUUUACACCUCGUAGCAGCAAGGCCACUCUACCACUCUUACAAUACCCAGUUGCAACAAAGUGUUUCACGUGUGUGGUGCAAGCUCCCGGGAAUUAUUCUCCUCUGUGAGAGGGAGACGGGGCAGAGGACCGCCUUGCAGAUAACGGCACCCUUCAGCCACCCCUCAACCAUCGCUGCCAGCUUUGAUCCUAAGCCCACCAACGCCACCACUAUCAUCCCCCCCUCCCCCCUGACCGUGAGCAGAGUCUUGGCCGGGCCAAACCGCUCGUCGAUCAUGCGGAAGCCCCAGAGGAAGAAGGGCCCGUGAAGGGUCAAGCCUAUGAGGCCGAAGCGCGCGGUGCGCUUCCAGUCAUGGGCUCCCCAGUCCAGCGCACCCGACCUGCAGCGCGAUGGGGUCGUGGACGGGUGAACGAGUGUCGACCGGGGAGAAAGGAACACUGCCUGGAUAACCCACUUGUUCCUACGCUGAAUAGAUUGGCAUAGGAUAUCUCCUGCUUGCAUAACGAUGCAUGAUGUUACGCCGGCGCGGACCACCGGGGCCACUCUUUUCAAGAACGGGGCUGGUAAGGGGGCCAUAUGUGCUUAAAGAAGGCUAUAUGCAACUUAAAUCAUACACACUAAUCACUAGCAGGGCGCAAGGGUAUAUGCCAUAAGCGACCGACGGCCUGACCAAAAAUUUUGCCAUUUGCCGUACGCAGUUCAACUUCCCAUCCGCUUUGUGUUUUCAUUGGCUAGCAAAGCAUACAAUAUCUUUCAAAUUUUGUAAUAAGAUGCAACUAUGUAAUCUGCAUAUUAAUGGCUUUGGGGCCAAGUUAAAGCAUCUGUCAGAAUGAUACCGCAUUCCUAGCCAGACAUCGGAUAGGACUAAUUUAAAGGAAGACUUGAAAAUACUUGCGAAUCUUUAAGGAAUGGUAUACCUGGAAUUCAUUGAGCAGGCAGGGGGUGUUCAUCCGUAGAAGUUGACCACCUGAGAAUGUCGGCAUCCAACAAUGAUGCUGUUCUUGAUCGCGUACUCACGCGUAUAGUAUCAGCCGGUAACCAAAGGGCGCAAGCUGGAAGGAGCCCCAGGUUGGUUCCCGUCAAUUGAUGUGCGGCGUUGACUUCGCACCUAAAGGAACAGCAACGUAUCUCGCACAUCGUGCAGGGGAAUCAGCUCCGUCCUUCAGCGGGAUGGUGGUUCCUCUCGAGGGCACUUCGGCGUCGACAAGCGACGGGCUGGCAACACGGCGAAGUUGUGUACAACAUAUCGUAAGACAGCCCAGUACAAGCUUCGCAUGCCUUUGACCAGCAUAACUUGGGAAGAUGACAAUCCAAAGCAGGAUAUCUACAUCUAGCAUAGCACCACUGCAUUUCACGGCCUGUGAUGGAUGCAGGGGUGGCUAACCCGGCGUUUGGAGGCUCCUCGGCCCGCGACUCAAGCCUUGCAGGAACAAACACUGUAAGUUGGCGCUCAGUCACUCUCCAUUACUAAUCAUGGGCUUCGCAAGUGUCCCCGUCCCUGCGCCUGCAUUUCACCUCCCGGGAUCGCGUCAUCGUGGCUCGUACGUCCGGGAAUUUCCCUCCCAGCCGAGCCCACCUUGUGCUCGGUCGAUUACUAUGGCACUGCUGCGGUCCUUCUUCACUUCUCCACUCCCCUGACAUUCCCCAUGGCAAACCUAGGUGGUGCCCCAAUUCGUCUUCAAAGGUAUCUUGCGAGCACCCACGUUGGCCCUGCAGCUGCCGUCCGUCGCGGCCAGCGUUACCGGCACAGCGGCCCCCGUAGCAAGCGGCGCUUCGACUGCCAGCCUGAAGACUUCAGCGGUUAUUUUGCGGCAGCAGCCCCAGCGACAAGCUAGCCCGCAACCGCAACUUCGGGCCCCGCGAUGUAGCAGCCCUCCUAUGGUCAGCAGUGGUAUCGCAAGCCGCAGGCGCAGCAGCCCUGCCGACACGGGUGCUAGUGGCUGUGGUGGCGGCGGCGGUGUUGGUCCUGACGGUGGCAGUGCUAGUCCGCGCGGCGGCCGGGCCACAUACGGCUGCGACAAUGUCGCCGGCAGUCCAAGGGCAACUGGUGUCAGCCGUUGCCGGAGCAGUCCCAGAGACCGGCAUGUCUCCGUCGUCAGUAAUGGUGUCCGGGGAAGCGGCGGAGGUGACGGAGGUUCAGGGCUUCUCACGGCGGGGCAAGGGGGGCCAUCUAUGGCCACGGGUGGAGAUGUUGCCGGCGGCGAGGGUGCUGCUGACAGUGGUGCGGCACAGCCGGCGCGUGGCCGGCCCCGCAAUACGAUCACUCGCACGGCUGCACUGCGCGCCUUGAAGCAACAGCGUUCCACCACGCCUGACAUUAUCGCGGAGUUGCGUGCUGUUGCAUCCAUUAAAGCCGCACAGCAAGCGGACUUCGUGGAGGCUGCAUCUCUACCCACGGCAGCCCGUGUUGUGGGUGGUGUGGAACUGGAACCCACCAGCGCAGGAGAUACUUCAGCAACGAUACGACAGCAGCAGGAGCAGCAGUACAAGCCCAACGGGCCCCAUGAAGCAGGUGGAGCGUCUGCCAAGGCAGGUUCAGCCAGUGGCACUCAACCGUGCAACGCAACGCUGGGUGAUUCAGUCCCAGCGAGCCAUACCAGCUACGGGGCCAGCACUACUGCUGGCCGGGCGGGAGGGCUUAUUGCAGGAUCGGCGGCAGAUACGUCGCCACACCCACCGGCGCACCCGCCGGCGCAGCAGCACUUACAGCCACCACAGAAACGUUGCGCACCACACGAGUCACAGGGGCAUGUCCAAAAGCAACUAAGGCAGCAGCAAUCACAACCACAACCGCAACUGCAGCUUCCACAGCAGCUGAAGCAACUGCAGGUGCAGCAACCCAAAUCGCAGGAGCCUUCAACGGCCUCACCUACCGCGGCCAUAGGAAGGAGAGGAACCAACCUGCCGUUGGAAGCGGUAGCUGCAGGGAGCCACUGCUCCGGACCGGCUUUAGUCGCUACGGUCGCUGCGGUGCUGCCGCAGCCGGCAUCAGCGUCAUCGGUCUCGGCGUGCCGCGACGCGGGGGCUGUCUGGGAAAUCGGAGAGGAACCGAGUUUCCGGUCCCCCUCUCCACAGCGCGCGAAGGGCGCCGCCUCUCGCGAAUUCGGGCAAGCGGUGCCGCAAGUCCCUGCCGCUAUUGCGGCUCCGGUCUCCGCUGCUCUGGGUCCUGUUGCUGCCGCUGCUGCGGCAGCGCCAACGGCGGCCGCUAUCAUGGCCGUUGCCCAGCGGCAGCAGCGCGCUAUGCGGCAGCACGUGCAGCGCCAGUCCAGCCCAUCACCCGGCCGCCGAAACGGCCAGGCCCCCGGGCCCCUGACGGACAAGCAAACCGCGGCUCGGACCUCACUUUCCCCACAGCCACAACACCGCCUGCGUGGCCUAUCCAUGGAGGGCGGCAGUUGGCAGAGCGAUGUGGUCAUGGCUGCACAGGCCCGCAUUCGGAGGUUAGAGGAGCAGGUACGACGAGGUUUCCGGACCUUGCCAUGAGGGGAGCGCAUAGGAUGUGGGGCAGGGUAGAAGCCGCCCGCAAAAUGGAUGGAUUCGUGUUCAGGCAACGUAGCCGCCUCGUUCCAGCAGCACACGUCGCGAGUCGAGUUCGAGUGGUGUAGAUGUAAAUUAGUGCCUCAGUGCGUUUCUUGGUGGCGUUGGGGUCGGGGUCCUAGAUCCAAAAACUCCCGCCGGCCGUGAGUUCGUUUGCUCUAAGCUCGCCCGUCAUCUGCUUCCGCGACGCCCUGUGCAGGUGGUCAGUCUGAGCGCGCAAGUGGCUGAGCUACAGGCCUCUCACGCCGACCUGGAGUUUCAGCUGGAGGAGGAGCAGCAGCACACCCGGGCGGCGGCUGCGAGGGCCGACGCAGCUGCGCCAGCCUGCACGCCCCAGACGGCCGACGCGGGACAGGCACAUGCGAUGGCAAGUAGCAGAUGGGUGGGGCAGAAAGCGUGGGGCUGCAUGGGUGGCCUGCCCGUAGGGCUGCACGUUGUCAGUAGCCCUGCUGCUCAAUACUACCUGGCAGUUGAUGUUUUUCCUGUACACAAAGGCACGUGCGACUCCUCGCCCACGACCCCCUCUCCAUGUCGGCUCUCAAGCCCCAGAGCCAAUAAGCAAGCUAGGUUUCCGUGAUCUUCAUCGUGGGGAAUGCACAGUAGGGGCACAUAGCUAUCUAUGAGUUCCAUCGGACUGCCCUCUUUCCGGCUGUCAAUGACGGCAAGGACCCCUUGUAUAACACAUACCUUUCACCCCGAUAGUCGCAGGAGAGCGACCAGCACCUGCAAGAACAGGUCCGGGAGGUGGAGGAGCGCCUGAAAGCCCGGGAGGCGGAGCUAGAUGAGCGCUUGAAAGCCCGGGAGGCGGAGCUAGAGGGGCGCUUGAAAGCCCGGGAGGCGGAGCUAGAUGAGCGCCUGAAAGCCCGGGAGGCGGAGCUAGAGGAGCAGGUCAUGCGGGAGCGGGCGGCGAACGACUCGCUGGCCAAACAGAACCGGGCGCUGUACAGUACGUUGGAGGAGACCCUAUCCGCCGCUGAACACGUGGGUAUCGUGGCCUUUUGCUUGGGGAGCUUGAGGGGGGCGCUAAGGUUGAUACACAUGUAGGGAUGAAGCUGCGUUAUAUGUCUUUGAUGCUUUAGGUACAUGGCCAAUACCGGGCUGUUCUGCGUGGGGCCCAGGUUGGGCAGUGAACUGUUGCGGGUGGGCCUUACGCUUUUGGGCUGCUGUCGCACAGUUGGUCGGGUCAGUACAAUGGUCAGCAGCCAAUGGUCGGCAUGAUUCGGCAAGGUGUUUAGUUCUUGACUUGCAGUGUGGUGUGGACGCGGCGGAUGGACGAUUGAAAGCGUGACAAGUGGAUUUAAAGUACGAUUCUUGUCCAUUACAGGCUGCCCAGGAACUGAAGCAACUGCGAGCGGCUCACACACAAUUGCAGGUAUGUCUGACAUAAGCCACUUGAACUGCCGCUGCCGAAUCCAUGGUCAUAAGUCCUCUGGUAGUAAUAUUCUUUUGUGCAGGUCUGGAAGGGGGGUCUUGACGCUGUAGAUAGCUGAGCUUGCAGAUAGACGGCUGGAUAAAUUCUCCAUGGGCUUGUCGCUGUAGGAGCUUGCUUACACCUCUGUUCCCUGCCGCGGCAUGGCGCUUCCCACAGGAGGUACACGACACGUCCCAGAAGGAGGUGUCGCAACUGAAAGAGGAUCUUGAGCUGCGCGAGCGUGCCCUUUCUGCGGUGAGGCGCCCGGCUCGGCAAGUCAUUUGCGUGGUUGUUUCCUCGCGUUCCUUGCUUGGCGCGUCUGCCUGUCAGUCCAUCUCACCUACUUGAACGGAGUGUGGCGACGGGCAUUUGCUGCGUACGUGGGAGAUCUGUCGGUAUGCGAAUAAGGGUCCACCCAAAGCGCUCAAUUGUGGGGAUAAGAGAGGGAUGAUAACGUCAGUGGGCUCCAGUAACGAACAAUCCGACGGGGUCCACAUACCGAGGAUCGGACCACACUGCGGGUUGCCGCGCAGGUCCAGGCAGAGUUCAGCGCAUUGCGGCGGCGGCAUGAGGAAAUGUCGACAGCCGCGGAGGCGGCACGGCGCGACAACGCGCUGCGCGACGGGCGACUGCGGCGUGAGGUGGAGGUCGCAACACAAGACGCGGCAAUCCUGGCUGCCCAGCUCACCAAGCUGCAGGUGUGAAGGGGCUGAAGGCGUUACAGCCUUGUUAAAUCCAAGGGCAUGAAAGAGGUUCCCCGUCCCCGCGGGCGCGCCGUGGAGUGCAAUCACGAGGUGCUGCUGCUUACCCUGCUCAGCCCGGCCUGCGGACUCUUAUCGUCUGCCUCAGGAUCGCUCGUACUCUCCUCGGUUUUCGCUUCCACGCUGCCAUUACCUCGUAAUGAUUCCUGUUCUCUUAUGGGGUAGUGAAUCGCAAACAGCAUGUCGCGCCUCUGCCCGCCCGGUGAUGCAUAUGCGUGCAGCGCGAGCACCAGCAGCUGCAUUCCCGCAAGGCGGAGAAGGAUCGCCAGUUAGCGACGCUGGCAAAGCGUGCUGAUGCCCAGCAGGAGCAGCUAACUGCAGCAGAGCGACUCGCGCAGGAGCAAGCAGGUGCGCAUGACGGUCGCCACAGUCCCAACUGGUAUGCAACUCAAUCUGCUUUGUAUUUUGGACCGUCACCUCUUGGCAUGUAAAAGCAUGUUUCCGCAUGCCGCUCCGUGGAUGUAGCGGUUUCAGGAGAAGAUUUUGCCUGCUGUCCGCCUGCUUUCAUAGUAUACAUGUCUCAAGCGAGCGGUGGCAGUGGGGUAUGUGUAUGCAUCCUGCAAAAGGCUCAUAGCUGAAACCUUGGGGGUCCCUAUUUAAUGCUCAAUACCCGUUCUCAACAUACGGUAAGAUCCUAUCGCUGUCUCCGUCGCUGAUUGUGAUUCGCCAGCACUCGUCCGGGAGCUGGAAUCACGCGCGACGCUGCUCCGAAACCGCAACGCCGCCCUAGACCGCGCUGUGGCUGCGGAGAAGGAGGCACGGCAGGCGGCGCAGGAGCAGGUGCGACAGAUGGAGGAGGAAAUCGCGCUGCUUGUGUCCAUCGUGCGGCAGAGCGACCCCAACCUGGAGACGCUCACACGCUACAAGCGCGACCCUGCAGCGGCGGCGGCGAUGGCCGCUGCUGCCGCCGCUGCGGCGGCGGCAGCGCUGCUGCAGGCUUCGCCGUCGUCGGCCCAUGGGAUCCGUGGCGAGGAGGGGACGGAAGUGGAAGGCGGACAGGCUGCAGAUGGCGACUACGGCGUAGUUGCGCCGAUAGUGCCACCGCUUAUCUUAAGCGGUCGUGGAAAUGGGGGAUUACGGCGCCAACACGACCCGUACGGACACUCUGUCGUUACCAUCACAGCCGGAUCCGGUGAGGCUGGAUGCGGCUACGGCGCGCACGGAGGUUGUUGGGUUUGGGUGCUGAGCUGCACAUGCUCAGGACGGCAGCCCUGAUGUUCCUAUGCCUUGAGUGCGGGGGCCCCGUAAAACACGCAUUAACCACGUGACCAAAGCGGAUGGCCAUUAAAGGAUAUCCACCAUGUGACCAAAGCGGGGAGGGCACGGCCCUCUCGACAAGCGAUUUUUCAAGGCACUGGACCGACACUGGACCGAUUGGCCAGAAGCGGGAGCAGGUUAACAAGGAAAAGGAGUUGGGCAGGAGGAUAGGUUGCGUUUCUCCGCCAAUGCCAGCCCCGGUCUCGCGCCCGGCACAGCGUGCUGACAACGUCGACACACAGUCACAGCCGCGCGCCACUGUCCUGAACACUCUUUUCAAGCUGCAGCUGCUGCCUGCCUGCCUGCCUGCCUUCCUCCACGUCUCAUCCUUACGGCCGUCUCCCCAUGCUCUUCAUCUGCUCCGCAGGGCCAGCUGCGGCAACCCGCACCACGGCACCACAACCUUUACCUUUCGCCAUUCCGGGGUCGGCGCCGCUCAGCGUGCGUGCGCCGCCACCCGGAUCGCAGCCCCUGUCCCAUCGCCAACAACGGGCGGAUGCUGAGGCACAGGCGGAUAUCUCGUUCGCCGACGCCGCUUCAGUCGAUUGCGACGCCAUCCUACAGCCCUCCCCGCAGGCCGCCACCGGUGACACCCCGCGCCAAGACCCAGAUUCAGGCAGCGCCCAUGCUCCCAACCGACGUUAUGCCGCCGCCAGCCGAGAGGACAGCCCGCUGACGAUGCCAUACCCCGCCAAGCACAACAUGACCGGUGGCGUGUUCCUUGACAUCGGUGGCAAUCGGGGGCCAUUUUCAACGUCGCCACGCGGCGUUCUGUCACCGAUUGCGGCUGGCAGGGCGCACACCAGCGGUGGCGCUGGCUUACACGGAACUGGCUUCACUAGCGCCUCCCCCCGCUUGAGACAAGAGACCCGGCUCGCUGCUACCACAGGGGGCGGCGGCGGCAACGGGUGUCGGAAUGCGAGGACGCCACUUUCCAGGCGCGGCUCUUCAGCAGGCCUUCGUGGCCGCCGCCGUUCCGAUGUAAGCACUGCUGGCUUCUGUAGUGCUGCCUCCAAUGGCGGUCACCUAGCUGCCACAUGGAGCGGCGCCGACGUCAGCGGCGGCAGUGCUGUCGCUAAGGCGGCCGCUCCCGUUUGGCGGGGCGCUGGUAUCGCUCGGCGCUCUGCCACUCCGCCGGGAACGUCCGCCGUCAGGCGGGGUCGAGACAGCCAGUCGCUGCUUGGUCCGGACGGCGCUGGGGCCUUCGUGACCGUACCAAGCGGCGCUGUCAGUUUUGGCGGGGUGGCCGCGAAGGCUCGGACAGCAGUGACUGCACCCAGCGCCGCCACGGUGCCGAAGGCGGCAGGUAUUGGUACUGAUGUGCCGCAGCCAUCAGCAGCUGCGGCGGUUCCUGUGGAGGCAGUCUUGGACGGGUCGCUGAGUGAUCGGGCGUUGUGGGCCAAGCCGCGCCGCAGCAGCCGUUCUGAUGGGAGCUGCGCGAACGGUAGGAGCGGCGGUGGAGGCGGGCAGCCAGCUGGCCCUCGGGUGGGGUCCCAGGUGCAGCAGUUGAGCUACGCUGCUAUACACACGGCGCAGAGGGCGCUGGCGACGUCGGCGUUAACGGUUCCGGCGGCGGCGGCAGCACGUUGCCACAGCCGAAGCCGCAGCUGCAGCGCUAUGGAGUGGAUCCGGCCGCGGGUCACAACGCGAUCGCGCGCCUCCCGACGAGCUAUGUAAGAUUCGGAGGUUGGGGUGAUGAGAUGGGAUGAGGGGAAAGGAAGGCGCAAGCGCGGACCUGUCACGUUGAUGAGCGACGACGUUCUUGCUGCCGUUGUUGCUGCCGCGUUGUUGCUGUCUCUGGGGCUGCCGGGACCGCACUGCUUUACAUUCUCAAUAGGCCGUACUUUGAGGGGGCGGUCUUACGUUGCUUAUUCGAUUAUUUGGGUCGUUGUCUUCGCCACAUCGCAGGACGCCUGAACCGAGGACUGUAGCCGCAUGGCUGAAGCUGUCAGAGGAGGCGGCUGCAGCAGCAGCGGCGGCGGCGGCAGCGGGCGACGCACUGAAGCACUCACAUUCAGAGAUUACCAUUGGCCGGGGCUCCUACAAGCUAGGACCUCUUUCAUCGUCGGACGGCGGCGCCUUCGCUGGCGCGGGGGCUGGCGCAGUCCGUUGUAGCGACGCGGCUUCUGAGCUGGCUGCCCUGCUGGAACAACAUCCGCUGGGUUUGCGCGCCCAGCCGCAAGGUGGCCGCGCGGGGGCUUCCAGGGCUGUGUGUAUCUUAACCCCGCACGCGGAAGGCCAGGAGUGCGAGCGGGAGGAGGAGUCUACAGGGGCUGCGAAGCACAGCGGGGACUCUUGCGGUCACGGCAGUCCUGCAGGUGCCGCAAAUGAGAGUCGAGGCGGCGAUGGUGGGGAAAGCGAUGGUAACGGUGGCUGCAGCUGGGGCGUAGGGCUAGACGACAGCAAGAUGGAGAUGGCGUCCCCCGUCAAGCUGUCGCGGGCCAGCGGCGGUCAAGCGGGUGCUCGUCAUUGCCUUGCUGAUAGCCGCGAUAGUCAUGAGGACGUAGUGGGGGAUGCGUCUACUGGGCGGCGCAGAACCCAUAGCCCAGACGGUGUGAACGGCGGCAAGGACAACAGCAGCGGCAGCCCCAGCCGUGAAAAUACGCGAGGCGUCUGCUCAGCUACCGGCCGGCCCUCCGCGAUAAUCCGUGCUAGCUACGCCUUCGAUUCGCCGCUGCGACGCCAGAAGCAGCAACCGCAGCAAGCCGCUGGUGCAGCAAAGUGGGACCACGUCUCAUCGCCGACCGCCGCAAGGAGCAGCCUUGUAGCAGCCGAUGGUAGCGACGAGGUCGACCCCUUGGGUUCAGUACUCCGCAGUCUUCAGAAGCGCCAGGCGGCGCUACUGAUCGAGCUUGCAACCGGUGGCGGCGGCAACGGCGGCUCUCCCAGCGCUGUUGUUAAGCCUCUCCUGUUGAUCCCAGGCUCGUCUCCGCGGAAUUCGCUGGCCCUGAACCGUAGCAAGCCGGCAGAGGACCCGUCUUUCGUUGCAUCCUUCACAUUCGCCAACCCCAAACCUCAAACAUCUCUGCUGUCUGCCAGCUCUGAGAAGCCCAACGGAGGAAGGGGCACCGCAGAUGAAGGCACCGACAGCGACAAGAACUGGACCGCAGACGCGGCAAGAGGCAGUAGGCCGCAGCGGCGUCGUAGCAUGUCCUUCACUGGCGAGGAGGCGAAGGGUGUCCCCAAGGGAGGUGCCGGCGGCGCCAGCGGCGAUCCUCGGCCGCUGGCCCAGCCGCUGCGGAACGUCUCCAGUUCGCGGGAAGGCGGUUGUUGGGCAGCACCGCAGGUGAUACGACAGCCUACUCCUCCACCGCCGCCGCCGCCGCCACGUAGCCCACACAGGCCCAGCGUCACUGCUGCUGCCGCGGCGGCAGCAGCGGCAGGCGCAGGGGUCGGCGGCCCGCUGACUGCACUGCUAGGUCAGCUGGAACACUCGGGUGGUACGUGGCGAGGAAAUGCCGCGCAUGGUGAACAGGGCGGCCCGGCGGGGCCGCAUCGACUGUCUGACGGCUCCACCGAUGUCGUGCCGUCGUCGCCGCUGCCGUCGCCGCCGCCACAGCAGCAGCAGCAACAACCCUCGCAACAACAGCAGUGGCAAAAACACGAGCAACCGGAGCAGGGGCACAUCGUGACGCAUUUCAGCGUGACAGCUGCGCUGCAGAUGCCUACCGGGAAGUUCGAGGGCGAGAAGUCAGGAGAGGACCAGCAGCGGCAAAGAUCGCACCAAAACGGAAAGGCGGAUGCAUGCGAGCCGCGCGGAUCGAACCAAGAGUCGAACCAAGAGUCGCUCAGAGUUGCUAAACCCUCGGCAGCUAGGUGCCAUGACGGCGAAGGGAGCAACGGGGAAGGGAUCGAGGGCGAAGAAGUCUUCGCCGCCGACGAUGAUGAAGUCUUUGGCGAGGAUGAGGACAACCAGGGCAUUAAGGAUGGGGACGAUAAGGAGGCGUUCGGGGCUGACGUGGGGAUGGAGGCGGCGACGGGCGAUUUGAAGGAGCUGCGACUGCUGCUGCCGACAGUGGAUACACUGACAGAUGCCAGAGAUGCGUCCUGCGCAGGGGGUGCCGACUGUGAAAGCAACAACACAGCGGCGCCCCCGUCGCCACAGCCUCGGGACGAGCGUUCCAUGGGCGGCUCGGAGCUGUUCCCUGACGACGAUUACCCUCCUGCAUGUGACGCGGACGCGGGUAGCCUAGUCUCAAGACUUGGUGUCAGUCUGUACGACAAUGUCGCGUACGACAUAUCGCGGGCGACCAGCGCGAGGGCUGAGUAUUACAACUCCAGCGACGGCGGCGCGGGGCAUCCGCGGGUGCCGUGGCGGUCGUCCUCCGGCUUUCCCCUGGUGCCCGUCAUCUGCGUACCGACUUCCCUGGCGAAAGCUGCCGGUGACGGCGGCAGAGGCGGAGGCGGCAGCAGCGACGGCACGGCGUUGGACCCGAGAGCGGUUGCUCGCUCAGCCCUCGCCAACUUGGAGCAGCAUUUCUCGCCGCCGCCACCGUCCCAUCCUUCUGACUCCGGGCCAUUGCCUGGAGCCAACGCCGCGAGCAGCAACCUAUUGGACUUGGAGCUGUGCGAGAGCGGCAUUAGCGCGACGAGUGUCGCCACCGUCAGCGGCUCAGUCAGCGCCAUCACGUCCUCGGUGUCGCAUCCCAUGUCGUCACAUGAUACGUCUUUGCGGGCCUCUGGUCAGCCGUCAUGGGCCUUCGACCAAGCACCGUGGGAUCGGCAGGAUGUGUGCGAGGAGGCUGGAUGCUGUAUCACCGGGGAUGCAGCGCCGGUGGCUGCUGUAGAGGUAGAGGUAGAGGGGGUUGAAGCGUACGAGGGCUGCGAAUCAAGGGCAGUGGGAGAGGAGGCGGCCUCCGGAUGGGGAACGCUAGGAUCCGUGGAGCAGGCUUCACGGCAUCCCCAACCGGCAGGCAUGGACUGCGACGGCAUAUCGUCCACCGCGGCGGCAGCUACGGCACCUGACGGAGGUGCAGAUGCCUCGGGUUGUGUAGCGGGCGGCAAGGAACAGCACGCGGUGGCGGCCGCAAUGGCGGCGGCUGUCUGCGAAAGUCCAGCAAUGGAGGAGGAAGGAGGGGAUGCUGCUGCUGCUGCUCCGACAGCGGCCGCAGAGGCAGUGGCGGGAGCCUUGCCGGCGCCCGCGGCGGAUGCGGACGUGGGUUUGAAGGCUCCAGCAGAGGAAUCGGCCACGGUGCCGCCUGUGACUCCGCUUCAGGCGACGGCAACGGCGCACUGCGCCGGCGGGCUGCCAUCAUCGUCGCUGCAGCUGUCGUCGUCCUCCUCCCAGCCCAACACUGGCGCCGCCGCCGCGGGAGGUGGAGCUGCCGGGUCCUUUCCCCGGUCGGCAGGCGCGUACGGGCCGAUGCUAGGGUCGUGGUUGCUUAGCCGGACGGAACCGACGCUCCUGGACCGGCAGUUUCAACAGAUCUCCGGGGCGCUGCCCAUCGCUCGGAAAAGCAUCGGCCACGCGACGGCCGCUACCGGCGGCUCUGUUAGCAGCGGCGGCGGUGGCAGCAGCAGCAGCAGUUCUGUUACUGCCGCCACCGCCACCAGCAGUACAAGCAGUCAUGAUUGGCUGCAGCAGCGGCGGCCGCCGUCACCCAGUGUGAAGCCCCUGAGCCUGGCGGAGGUGCUCCGGCGGCCGCCCAGCGCCCGGUGAGGAGGAGGAGGAGGAGCAUGCGGGAGGGGAGGGGGGAAAGCGCACACCCCACUUGCCCACAUGUUACUCUAUUGGUAGGAGAUACCGUGGGACCACUUAGCACGGUUUUCGUUUCGAUCGUCUGUGUUUGUGUUGUUUGGAGAGGCCAACCAUCCUGUAAGCAGCAAUGGACAUGUGCUCUCGGACCUUUCUGGGCCUUUCCUGGCGUCGUCGGCCAGGCAUGUGAGGGAAGCCUGCAACCGGGUGUGUGGCUACGACCGGGGGGAAGUGCAUCCACAUGAUGCUGAACACGUUUAUGUUGAUCGCAUGUGCCGCUGCGUCACUUUAUUGGGUUGGGAGAUCAAACCGCGUGUGCCAUCGUCACCGCGUGUCCCAAGGUCGCUGCGGGUGUGCAGGUGUCUUGAGCCGCGUUCCUGCUUUCGCUUUGGUUUCCUGUGUGGGGCUCCACUGUAGGACCGCAGCAUGGCCGGGGCUGAGGACCGGGGCUUAGGAUGCAUGGCCGGGGCUUAGGAGAGGAACAGGGGUUGGCAUAGCCAGGGUCCUUUUGCGUUGCGUGGCUGCUGCUGCAGGCGGUGCGGUGACCUUGCCGGGGCCGCGACGUGCGUUACGUUGCGUGUGUGCUCGUGUGUUCAUGCGCGCGUCUGACCCUGUUUGUUGCGUUGGUUUCGUGUGGUGGUAAAGACGUGCGGUGCGUAUGGCUGUUGGUGUUUUCCCCUGCGUGUGUGUGUGUGUGUGUUGGCUGGCUGGCUGGCGCGUGGGAGGUCUCAUGAGCAGGGCGAAGUGCACGUAGGGUGGUAGGUUGUUAGGAGGCUCGGGGGCUAUCGCACGCGGGUUGCGUUAGGAAGAUAGACAAUGGCUUCAGGCCAAGCGACAGGUUCGGAGCAGUGCGUGCAGACCUCAUCAUGCGUGUACGGUAUUGUUGGUUUGUGAGAUGUACUGGCAGAGGACUGUUGAUGUAUGUGUGUUACAUGAUGUACUGGGCAGAUUAGGUAGCCAUCCUUGAGUGUGGGGAUCGGACGUCGAGACGAGGAACAGAUAGGAAUGGGUGACACUGCGCAGAGUAUAGGGUAGUGGUGAAUAUAAGUGAAGACGAGACAACCCUUCCCCCCCCCACACACACACACGCAAACGCACGCAAACGCAAAUCAAUGAGCACACAUGCGAUGAUCUUUAUAGAAAGCGUUCUAAGACGACUGAGGGAAGGUGUAAGGUGGGCAACGCGCCCUUACUCCGGUCGUCCACUUCCCGUGAAAAAUGCGCGAUUAUUGUAUUCGUGACGCCGGUGGGAGCCGUUCAAAUCCUUGCCGUUAGGAAAUCGACAAGCACCGUGUUGCGCCGACAAAGCGUUUGUGUGGGUCUCUCGAUCAAUGGCCGCGGUGCAGAUAGAAACUGAAGGCUGUUGGCAGCUAAUGUUGGUGCUUAAUGAUGCAGGGCCGCCAUACCGUCAGGACCCGAGACAUAUCGGCCGCUUCGAACAAGGCUAUGCAGCUUAAAGUUUUGGGGGAUGACUUGAGCAUAGAGUGUGGGUGCAGCACAAUAGGGUUGUGGGGGAUAAAGUGCUCAGCGGCAGGGGACCGCGCGUCACGAGCGAUGUGGCCGCCCUGGCCCUCCGCAAAGAAUGUGUGUAGGCCAUCUUCAAGGGACUCCCGAUUGCGAGUAGAAGUAAGGGACAGUGCUCCUGACGUACGGCGUUAAUGCUUUGACCAGUGCGCUUAACGUGCGACGUUCAUUUAAUACAGUGUUGGGGAGCCAUAAAGUAAAAGCAUUCAUCGAAGAGCGCCGACCAUGAGCCAUGGGUCGGUCCCAAAGUAGGCGCCGGUGUCAGAACUGAUCGCGGCAUGCCAGGCUCUUGCGCUCUUGAAGAACACUUGGAACCGGGGCGUGAGGUUCAAGGGCUGUGGAGGAUAAGGCCUGCACGAGGCUUGGCCCACAGACGCCUGCGCAUGGCUGUUGCCAGCAUGGGACCCUACACCGUCAAUAACUGGUUCCAUAUCCUACAAUGAGGUCCUACAAACAUUUGGGUAGCAGCGAACCGUGGGAGGAACGAACGAACCGGGGCGCUAACGAUGUUUUGCUCCUGAGUAACAGCGGGGCGGUUCCAUGUGAGACCGUGCUGCAAGGAGCCUGGACUGGAGCAAUCCGUAUAUGUUGCGUAAACCUUUGGAAGAUUAGGACAAGCUAGAGGGACAGAGUUACAUCUCGGCCUGGUCAUGCAACGCAGCUUGCGCAUCCAAGUGGUGCCAUUGGUUUCGGAGCUCGGUCGCUCGUUUUUUCCCUUCCCUGCUAUCCUGCCGCCCGGCCACGCGCUGGGCCAUUCUAUGUUCGCAAAAUUGUUCAAAAUGAUAACAGAUGACCAGCUUCUCAGACCCACCUCGAAAACUCCUAAGGCUGGUGGUGCCGUACCAAACACAAGUAUGGUAUGUCAGUAGCCCUGUUCUCCGUGGCUUUUAGGCGUAUAGAUAUUGCCCUUGGGCCUUUGGCUCGUAUGGGUAGUUUUACAGGUAUGGGGUCACGCACCCACCAACCAUGUAACACGCACACACACACACAGUAGCCCUGGUGCAGGACCGCUGGCAUCUUCGCGCUGAAGUCAGGAACCUCGCCAACCUAACUGCAUACUUGCGUGGUGCCAAGUUGGUGGCCAUUCAAUGGCUUCCAGAGGAAAGGGACCGAGCUGCGCAUUCCACCUAUGGCUGGGUUCUCGCUGCGCAACCCCCAUGAACGUGCAAGCAAAUAACAAAACCUAAAAAAACGUAUGAAAUGUAGGAUUUGUGCUGGCGGUUCCUUGCACCUUCGAUUAUAACAUGCUCUAGUCAUCUGGACGAAUUCAGCGAAUUUAGUAGCUCUGAAACUUUGUGGGCGAACUUCGGUUUUAUAUGCAAAUGUGGAAUGGAGGAUGGUGAAGUAUUAAGACAUGAUGCCGUCGGCCCUUAGCUCUGCAGUCUGCACCUGAUCUUACAUAUUGCAAACAUGACCGCAUGUCAUAACACCGUAGCAAACAAACCGAAAACAAAACGCUACUACUUCAUGGAAGCUGUGGGGAUUAGCGCGAGUCAACGUCCGCCAGCCACGUAGCAAAUCGUCGGAAGUGUUUGUUGUUCGACGCAAGUAUCAAUGGCUUCGGAGCACUUUUCGCGAGCACCUGGCGUCGAAGUUUUUUAGUGUUUCCUGCUGCACUCAGUGCACGUGACAGCUGUCAAAGCAGGAAAGAACAAAAACGAUUCGUGCCGUGUAACCAUUAUUAAAACGAAAUUAACCGUCAUGGAGCUUCCAGAAGGUCACACAUUACAGGCAGCUGCAGAGUGCUACCAUUACCGCUGCACUUCGGUCAACGCAUUACGUCAAGUGGUCAACGCAUGGUCAAACAGUCCGCGUUGACUGGCGGGAAUUGAUUUGACUCACUGUUGGUCAACGUGAGCGUCCCAUAACCUUUGACUUUUCGUUCUCAUGUGACUCGACUUGCGCAGCCGCCAGCUAUCGUGAGGCAGUAUGGCGUUAAAUGGCCACCAAGCUGUCAAUCUCUGAACGGGACAGAUUUCGUGGGCAAUAAUGCCGGAUUGAGCGGUUGAGCACAUGCAUAGUACUGCAAUUACAGUGGGCUGCUACAAAGAUCCGACGUUUAUCCUGGAAGAAAUAAAUUUUACAGAUCCUAAACAUUGAUUGCAUUACGCCUAUCUUUCGCAUAGUAAUUUGUCGAUUCGAUUGCGCUUUGUUGUCGCAAUUCCCCGCGUCACAUAAAUUUAAGAGCUAAUGAAAUACGUUACGGAUAUAAUAUGGCUUGCAUGUUUUCCCAUGACAUAGGAAUUGCACCCUGUCCGUGCCAACCACCGGUCAGUAAAAUGGUGGGCGCGCACAAAGUGCUACCACGAGGUAUGCAAUGUUACUGAAAAACCGCUUAUCGCCGAUUGACCCGAAGGCUUGACCUCGAAGCCCUUUGGUGUGCCUCAACGCGUGUAGCCUAUCAAGGUGCAAACCAAAAAUCGGUGCAGGAAGCCCCCAAAACCGUAUGUAUGUCGCAAGCAUCUUGACAGCCGCAAGUAAAGCUCUUAAUAGAGGACCCUAAUGACAGAACACAUGAAGCUUAGAGUGACCAAUUUAUGCAUCCUGCGCAGCAUUCGUCGGGUAUUUGUACCCGGACUUCCGGCAAUGUCAACUGAUGACGCCCCAGAUACGCGAUGUCGCGCCAAUUGAGCUUGACAGGACGAAACGUAGCUAGAUUUAACUCAGCAACGUAAAAGUGCUGAAACAGUCAAGGCAUAACAAGCCAGUUUCGAAAGGCCCGUUGUGAAAGGUUUUUGACAUCUCCCAAGCCUACACCAUCGUCCUAGAGUUGUAAUAAGCUUGUAUCUUUAACUUCAGUGUUAUAAGCUAAAAUGAACUGACUGGCGCCUGUUUAAGCAGCCCCUCGCACAAAUGUGUCCGGUCGUACUGUGCCGAAUAAACAGUUCGUACAUGUCGCCCCAAAAGUCAGGAGCGAAUUUUAACGCGCGGAUGCGCGCGUGCGAUUCGCAAAAUGCUCCUGUACAGGUGUAUAUAAAUUUUCUUGGCGGAAAAGGACGAGGUGCGCCAGCGCGUUGCGCAGGUGGGCACGAUGGCCAUAGUCGCACGCGGCAUGCAGCCUAGUCUAUUGCGUGGCUGCUUUGCAGUAACUGAAAGCACCGAAAGCCUACGUCGUAGCUUGCAAGACUGGGCUCGUGAAACUGCCGCGGGAAGAGGAAGCGUCUGGCGAAGAGGCAGUUGUGUGCAAGCAAACGGUCGCGUUUUUGGUAGUGCAACGUAUACAGCACCUUGUUCAGAGUAAAGUCAAAUUACAAAGUUGCGCAAAGUAUAACAUACAUCAACUUAAUUAAACAUAAGAACAGAUAAGACGUUUAGAGCCUUGUCGGUGACAUGGACGGCGCUGUUGGCUUGGAACAGCUACUUGCUGUGCAUAGGGACGUGCCCGCGUUAGCCGUGUUGCAACAGCUCAGGAUGGAUUUCAGCCAGCAACAGCCUCAAGAGCUGCUGCACAACCACCGGGAAUGUCUUCAGUUGGGCACGUGCAGUUUUGGUCGGCGGGUUCGAGCAUCGUAUGCAUUGCGCACAGAAACCAAGGUGCAGCGUCUCUGUAACAUCGCCAACAUAUCCGGUGCGCGGUGGCAGGCUUGCCGAGCACGAAAUGAUGGGGGGGUCGCAUCUCACCAUUCAACUAAGCAUGCAUGUGCUCGGUUGAAUGCUCGGUAGCGUGCGAGUUUACCCCUAUCAGGAUGUUUGUUUGCAUAUCCCUCCAAGCGAGAGGGCUUGGACCUAUGCUGAUGUUCGUUCCAAGAAGUGAACUGAGGACUGAUGCUACGGUGAAAGGUAUGCACGUAAAUUCGCCCGUGCGCCAAACGCCCUGUAACUCGCUUACGCUAAUCUCACAUUCCAAUAUGCCACUGCACUUUCCUCUCCAGCCUGGCCACAUUCUCUUCCUCGCAAACGUACUUGGGCACCUUACAAUCCAACACCAUACGUGCUUUGGAAACGCGGGCAGCUGCUUCACAAGGACCCCCCUAUUUCAUGGAUGGAUGGAUGUUACAAGCUUCAGUUCAGUGAGCUUGUACGGCUCAGACGAACCCGAAGGCUCAUGAACCGCUUCGACUGCACCGAAGAUAUUAGAAAACCAAAGCACUAACAGAAAGAUCGUAAAAAAAUGAGACUAAAGUCUAUUUGCAUCACCUCCACUAAUAAAAGCGACUGCUAGCAUCUCGCGGCAAACUUCCCCUCUCAGUAACCUCUGCUGCACUACACCUAAGAUGCUAAGUUCUCCUGUCGUAAACGAAACAUGCCGAAAAUAAUUUUCGCAAGACCACGCUGAUCAUCCACUUGCAUGACAUCGUGAACAGACGCGCCGACGGGGACACCGAGGUCCCAGAGUCCCUGCCGCGCCGUGGCAAGCGCAGGGCACUCCAGCAAAAAGUGCCUCUCAUCCUCGACGACACCGUUGGAACUGCACACACAGCACACCCGUUGCUCCCUAGAUCUGGAGCUCUCACUGUUAACCGCCAGACCAGAGACGCACAACCGAAAACGAAGUAGGGUGCGAAGGUGCGCGGGGGGCAUGUAGCCCUCAAAUACCUUGGGCGAACCCAUCCAGUGCUUGUGACGACACAUCUUAACGCCGGGCUUCCUACCGUCCGUGGCGAAGGAUCUAGGGUCUGUGUUGAGCCUAUCGCUCACCCAGUCAUCGUUGAUGCGACUCCUAAAAGUGUCCAUCAACGCCUCGACAUCAAGCAAGCAGGCCCAGUAACGCCUAACCCUCGCGUCAAUACUUCCCGCCGCCGCCUCGUCACCCCAAUCGUGACCCAAGUAAUUGAGGAUGCGAAUGACCUUGGACCCCCAGCCGUCGUACUGCAAAUCCGUUUCUAAAGCCAGCCGUAUUUCUGGGCGAAAGGCGCUGUGGUAUAUGUUGCUAGUGACCUCUACCAAACUAUUCCAAAAACGAAAGACCGAUUCAGCCCAGUGUACCUGCAGCGGCGACUGCCCUAGUUCCCUGAAUAAAAGCUGGAGGGGAGGUACGGAAGCCCCCACCAGCUGCUUCAUAAACCAAAUCUGGAGCUUAACCAUCCGAUCCCGGACGGCCACAUCGAAGUAGCAAGAGCGCGGGGCUUCAUUGGCUGGGUAGCCCUUGUCUAGCAACGCCAACACCUGCUCCGCACCCCACAUCUGAGAACCGUACGACAACACAGAGCGCACUUGUGCAUUGAAACACUUAAUGCCAACGUUGGGCAGUAAUAGCCCCUGGCGGCGCAAAUUAUUGCACAAAGCAAACAUAGCUCGUUGACCCGCCGAGAAAAGCUCAUCCGUGCAAGAGACGAAAGGUGAGUCGGGGCCGAAAUCGAGCCCAAGGUAGCGCGCUCGCACCUUCCACGUGAUCGGCCUGUACACUGGUAACCCCUCCUCCAGCCCACGCAUAGUGACUAAAUUGUGGGAGCUGAGGGCAUACACCUGCCUUCUUACUCGGUCGCUGGGAUGAAAGAAAAGAAGCUCGCACUUCCGUGCGUUGACAGUGAGCCCAAACGCUUCUGACCAUUCCCGCAGUGCCCUGAGUAAGCUCAUUAAUCUCCGCAAAGACUUCGCAUAGAGGCUCAGAUCGUCUGCGUACAGCGCUAGAGGCACCCGACGUCCUUCUACGUUGGGACUAUCAAGGACUGCCAUGGCCUCGGGGAGCGCGACAUCUAAGGCAUCAACGUAAUCCGCGAAGCCCUCCACAAAGAAACCAAAAAGCGUGGGGCUCAGUGGGCAGCCCUGCUUCCCCCCCUGCGUGGACAUGAAAUCUUCUUCUCCCGUGCAGCCAUUUACUUUAACCCUCAUUUCCACCCGCUCAUAGCAUCGCUUCAGGGCAUCCAACGCUGACCCUGUAACCCCUCUCUCCUCAAGGCGAGCCCAAAGCAGCUCCCGUUUCACCCGAUCAAAAGCCUUUUCGAAGUCAAUCUGGCAGACGAAGAGCGCUUGACCCGGCGUGUUGGGAAGGUCCCGACGGCAUCGAUCAGUAAGAUGGCGUACCAGGAACAGGUUGUGAAUAGUGCCUCGCUUUGGCCGGAAACCCCCCUGGUAUGGGCUGCGGGCUCCGCAGCCCUCACCCCAGGCCUUCAGUCGCCGAUCAAGCAGGAGCGCAUACAAUUUGGAAAGGGCCCCGCCAACGGCCAGCCCACGGUAGUUGCCCGGAUCAAGGACAUCGCCCUUUUUAUGGAUGGGUGUAAGAACCGACGUCUCAAACUGCUUAGGAUAGUCCCCGGUGGACCUAAUAUGCUCCAAGAGGCUCAGCAAGUACGGUGCGAGAACUAGCUCCUCCUUGUCCUGGAUCCAGUGCGAGGAGGCAUACUUAUAGCACUCCGCCGGGGCCCGUUCGAGCCCCGGGGAUUUGUGGUUGCCCAUCAUUUUAAGUGCCGCUAUGACCUCUGCCAGCGUAAAAGGAGCACUCAGGGCCGCGGCGGCCACGACUCUCUGAUUCCGGGCUAAGCUCCCAUCUCCUGCCCACCCGCGCAACAUAGUAAGGGGACGUCCGUUGAUAAGGUUCAUAAUGCAGUCCGCCCUGACCGCAUUGAACGCGUUGACCUCAUUGUUGUACAGCGCAUCGAAGUAGUCACGCCAGUUAUUGACAUCGCGGAUAGGACACUCAGGUCGCACGCCCUGAUUGAGCCGGCGCCAGAGCGCACGUGGGUUUCCCUUGCACUCCUCCAAAAACGAGGUGAAAUGGGAGACGCGGUGUGCAGCGACUGCCUCCUUCCUGAGCCUUUGGUAUCGGGUGCGCAGCAGUGUGAAAACAUGCCUAGCCUGCUCAUCGGCUAGGAGCCCGUGUGCUCUCAUGUGUGCCUUGUGUUGCAGCAUGUCGCUUCGGGCGGCAGCGCAUUCCUCAGUCCACCACGGUGCGUCCUCAUCCUCUCUAACCCUUUGAACCCUGUUGCGUCACACCCCAAAAGCCCUUUCCAGAGCCGCCGAACACGCUUUAGUAAUGAUCUCGACGACUGUGGUUGAGUCCAUACCCGCACCAAGAUGACCAACCGCAUCCGCAAUGCACCGUACAGCGGGGGCAUCAUCCGCUGCGAACAGGCUCUCGUAUCGAGCCUUGCGCCGAAUAUCGAAGCGCGCCCUGGGCCUGCCUCUGCCUGCCGAGCUGUAAUCGUGCCUUAGAACCCGGAGCUCGAGUGUGACCGGGCAGUGGUCGCUCAUGAGACUGCCUACUUUCUCCCCACAUUGUGCGACAGGGAUAUUCAUAACAGAGAGAUGCUCCGCACGGAAGAGGAGAGCUGGAGAUGCAACAAAGAAAUCAAUCAUACUACUUCCGUGACCCGCGGGACUCCAGAACGUGCACGCCCCUUGCAGAUCACCGUUCACACGCCCAUUCAACACAACAAGCUCCAAGUCCUGGCAAAGGCCUACAAGGGCCCGCCCAAAGGCAUUGUCCGUGUUGUCCUCAGACCGGCGUGGCGGGAUAGCGCUUAAAAGAUUAGCCUGCCCUAGUUCCGCUUGCGUAAAAAAGGCUAUCUCCGCAUCACCUUCCGAGUCUGGGAGUUCGCAUAUUCCCGCGACUCUGGAGUUCAAAUCUCCCAACAACAAGAUCUCAUCACCUGGCUGCUGGUAACGCCGUAUCAGCGUGCGGACCCGGUCCAUAACGCGGCGUGUUACGCCGUCUGGCGAUCGGCGCCCGCCUGCCGUGUAUGCUUUGGAACCGAGGGGUGCAGCAUACCCAGCGCCUAUGACCAAGCCGUUUCCUCCAAGGUCCAACGCCUCUCCCUGGAGCCGCAACCACACACUGCUCAUGCCCCUUGGGGCGUCUGACGAGGUGCAAUACGUGACAUACUGCUGAAUGCGUUGAUGAACCCAGACACAGAUCCCUCCACGCUCCGUAGACCUACCCGCAAGAUAACACCGUGACCCGUCCGGUAUCAAGCGUGCCAAUUGGCCCAUAGCUUUCCCGUGUGCUUCCGUGAGUACCACAAUGUCAUAGCGCAGCGCAAGCUGGAGCAGCUCGCGUUGCUGUAGCUUCCAGUCAGUUACGCCAUGCAAAUUCCAUUGGAUAACGUGAAGCGGUCCAGACCUCCGGUCGACCUCCUAGCCCAUAGUCACGUCACCUGAGCUGUCUCCGCUCGUGUUGCCGCGGCCGCCGUGACUGCCACCGCUGCGGUCGCCACCGCCCCCGCCCCCACGUCCACCGGCCCAGCCGCCGCGACCGCCGCCACCGCUGCCGCGUCCUGCACUGCUUCCACCGCCGCUCCCACCGGGCCGGCCGAUAGCCGUACUGUUAGCGCCGGUCGCCGCGCUGUGGCCACCUUGCGAGUUUCCGGGCUGCCAUGGGCCCGUGUAUAGUCGCCAGCCCUGGUCCGUCUUCACGGAGAUGUCCACUCCGUUGACCCAUCGGACGUCGCGCUUCUCGUCGUUGCGCAGUCGCAGGAACGUGGCGGUGCGCUGCGUUUUCAGCUCAAGACCCCUCUCGGUGAGGGAAUCUUGGAUGACGAAGCUGUUCGCUGCAGUGCCCGAGUUGCGACGAAGGUGCAAGAGAGCCUGCAGGACGAUGCCGCGGCUGUCGGCGUGGAAGUUGACGUCCACCAUUGCCAUGUCCUUGAACCGGCCCGACUCCGUCAGCUUCAGGGCCGGCACGGGGGAACGGGUAUCAAGCCGUGGGACGACGUCGACCCGGACCUUCGCGAACUGAUUCCUGAUCGUGAGCGCCUGUUUAAGCUGCGUUGACAGCUGCUUGGCGAUAGCUGGAGUAGUCCGCACAAGAAAACGGCCAGGGCGGAAGAAAACGUUCCCGCCAAACUCGUGUACUAGCAUCGGCACGAUUUCCUGCUCAUUCUUCGUCUGGAAGCUGGCAAACUGUUCAUUCAACAACUGCCUAAAGGCAUCGAGAGUGAUUGAUUGAUCAGACAUGGCGGUCUGCCUGCCGGCCGCCUUUCUGGCCUCAAUGACCUCUAUGUCCCUUUUCUGGGCCGCUGUUAGGAAAGCUUGCUCUUGCCCCGGAGAGUCAGCUUGUCGCUUUUUCAAUGUAGGUGGCUUAGGCGACUUAGGUGCCUUUGGUGGGGUACGCAUUAGCAACGCUCAUGAGAUGUUAUAUGUUCGUGACAUGCAGGCAGGCAGACCGCCAUGUCUGAUCAAUCAAUCACUCUCGAUGCCUUUAGGCAGUUGUUGAAUGAACAGUUUGCCAGCUUCCAGACGAAGAAUGAGCAGGAAAUCGUGCCGAUGCUAGUACACGAGUUUGGCGGGAACGUUUUCUUCCGCCCUGGCCGUUUUCUUGUGCGGACUACUCCAGCUAUCGCCUAGCAGCUGUCAACGCAGCUUAAACAGGCGCUCACGAUCAGGAAUCAGUUCGCGAAGGUCCGGGUCGACGUCGUCCCACGGCUUGAUACCCGUUCCCCCGUGCCGGCCCUGAAGCUGACGGAAUCGGGCCGGUUCAAGGACAUGGCAAUGGUGGACGUCAACUUCCACGCCGUUUCAUGCGUUCAUGUUUGCCGGCUGAUUGCGUACGGAAAAAGGAGCUUGGAACCUGUUCGCAUUGUACAGCCCACAUUUCCUGGAUGGUCCAAAUGUACAAGGAAACGGUAAAAGGCAAAGCUGCAAUCCGCAUGGACCUGACUGAAAGUCCACGCGUUGGGUACAUUGACGAGACAUUAUAUACAAGCUACGGUUGGAUCCCUGCGGCGAAAGGUUCUCAAUCUGCAAACAGCCUUAAGUGGGAAUGUCCACAACAAAAACAGGGCGAAGGGAGGUUGAAAACCGGAACAGCGGAGACUGUGGCAAAAACCUGCAAAUCUGAUGCGCGCCUAUGUGAAUUGCGGCAUUUUAUGGAAAUGCCGUCAGGCAAAUCCUGUGUGGCGUGAUAAUCCUUAGUUCUGCUGGCUUCAGCUGAGAUGGCCUGUCGACGGAAAGAUAGAGAUGACCGUCAAACAUAUCACCACCAACAAACGCUUCUCCCUCUUCCUCGGCUUAUCCUUGCCCCGCUUCCUGAACCCGCCAUUUCCUCUCGACCUCACCGACACAACAGACGCAUCCACCAUUAUUCCAACCGCACACAUACAGACACAAAUAUCUGUCUCACGGCUUAUGUCUACGGCUCCAGCGGCACAGCGGGGGCUCCGUUAACCCUCGGCUCGGGCACACUCACGCCGGGCCGGGUGUCGCGGCGCGCUGUGGAGCGAAGUAAAAGAGCGCAAUCACCACCAUCACCACCAUCGCCACCACUACCACCACCACCUCCACUGUCACCACCAUAUGUACCUCAUACGCAUACGCCCGUUAGUCAAUCCCUUGUCUCCUCUUUCCCUCAAGCCACCACUCAAACCACUUCCCCUUCUCCCCUCCCCCCCCUUCCACACACACACACACACACACGCGCACAGAAAACUAAAGCGAAGGCUCUGACCCUGCUCGCGCUCACUUUGUGCAGCCCCACUUGCAGCCACCAGCACCAUUGUCGUCGUCCAAGUCGAGUACAGACAAUCGUACAGCCCCAACCUCGCACACGUUCGACACAUAACAUCCCUUCCCCUCAUCAACGCGCGUGCGUGUUCUGCAUCGGUGUGUGUGUUUUAAGUGUAUGCCGUACUGCAGCCAUGGCGUUCAUGCUGCUGCCCUUCUACUCCUCCUCCGCUUCUCCACCAGCAUCAUAGAUUCCUAGUAUCCCGGCCACGUAUGGUGUGUAUCGCUUUAUCUACCGCCACCUCUUCCACCUCCACCUCCUCAUCCAACCUCGCAUUAUACCCGCGGUCAGCGAAGGUGUCUCACUAACGUUGCCACCACCACCACCACCACCACCACCACCGAAAACAGUUCAGACACCAGUUCAAACCAUGCCUCCAGUUCCCCACCCCUCCUCCUCCUCCUGCCCCUUUCUCCUCGUGCUGCUGCCCGCCAAGGUCAAUCAACAAAUUGCGACUGCAGCUUCACCGCCCAGUUGUAGCCCCCUUCGGAGAUUUAGUCCCCACCACCCCCCUCCCUGCAGCAGCUGCCGACCGCCACUCCUCCCCUCCGCAACCCACACACACACACACCCGCUCUCCGCAGCUGUGUCCAAUUUCUGUUCUGCUCUCCUCUUGUGGUUGUGAAGUAGACAACAUCCUCCCCUUCACCCCCGGACCCCCUACCCCUGGCUGCACCCGCCAUCACCAUGCUCGAGUGGGGGGGGGUGGAAGGAGGAAAAAGGAGGGGUGUAUUCCGGUGUAUCGGAUGCUGUUGUUUCAAUGUUGAGGCGCACCGACCACCCAACACUAAAAAUAUCUUCUAGUCAUGGUUCUAGUCAUGGCUUUAGUCAUUAUGGAUUAUAAGACUUGUGGAUUGCUUCGCCCGCGCCGN
rnacentral:lncRNA from 1 species